ACCGUUGGGUGUGCUCUAUGGUUAGAGUGUCCAUUUUUUUUUCCAAAACUGAAACCGCUAGAGAGCCAUGAUUAACGAUGUUUUCGUGCUUGAAUUGGAGGAUGUUUAUGUGGAUGACCUUUAGUUCCAAUAAGACGGCGCUAUAUAUCACAGAGCCAACGAAAAAAUCAAUUUAUUGAAGGACACUUUUGGACAGCGUAUUAUCUAACGUCGUGAUCCUGCAGUGUGGAAUCAAUAAUCAUAAGCUUAAGACGAUCCGAUGACUAUGAAACUGGAUUUUCUCUCUCUCUAUUCUCUGGACUGGAAGCUUGCAGCCUUUAUUGUUUCAGUUGAUCUCUCAACUUAGUUUAUAAAUAAACUAAUCUAAAUCAAACUGCUAUA